UACGGAGGGUGCAAGCGUUGCUCGGAAUUAUUGGGCGUAAAGGGUAGGUAGGUGGUCUUAUUUGUCUGGGGUGAAAGCCUUGAGCUUAACUCAAGAAGUGCCCCAGAAACGGUGAGACUAGAGUACUGGAGAGGGUCGUGGAAUUCCCGGUGUAGCGGUGAAAUGCGCAGAUAUCGGGAGGAACACCAAUGGCGAAGGCAGCUCGCUGGGACGGUACUGACGCUGAGGCGCGAAAGCGUGGGGGAGCAAACAGG
rnacentral:rRNA from 1 species